rnacentral:tRNA from 1 species
GCCCUGCUAGCUCAGUUGGUAGAGCGCGUCACUAGUAUUUCUAUACAUGACGAGGUCAAUAGUUCAAAUCUGUUGUGGGGCA